rnacentral:rRNA from 1 species
UACGGAGGAUGCAAGCGUUAUCCGGAAUUAUUGGGCGUAAAGCGUCCGCAGGUGGUCAAACAAGUCUGCCGUCAAAGACCAGAGCUUAACUCUGGAAAGGCGGUGGAAACUGUAAGACUAGAGACCGGUAGGGGUAGAGGGAAUUCCCAGUGUAGCGGUGAAAUGCGUAGAGAUUGGGAAGAACACCAGUGGCGAAGGCGCUCUACUGGGCCGGUACUGACACUCAGGGACGAAAGCUAGGGGAGCGAAAGGG